GCUCCCUUCGGGGGGUGAGUACAGUGGCAGACGGGUGAGUAACACGUGGGUAACCUACCCACCGGUGGGGGAUAACUCCUCGAAAGAGGGGCUAAUACCGCAUGACAUCGAGCGCUUCUCGGAGUGCUCGAUCAAAGCUUGCCUCUUCUUGAAAGCAGGCGCCGAUGGAGGGGCCCGCGCCCCAUUAGCUUGUUGGUGAGGUAACGGCUCACCAAGGCGACGAUGGGUAGCCGGCCUGAGAGGGUGAUCGGCCACACUGGAACUGAGACACGGUCCAGACUCCUACGGGAGGCAGCAGUGAGGAAUUUUGCGCAAUGGGCGAAAGCCUGACGCAGCGACGCCGCGUGGAGGACAAAGGUCUCCGGAUCGUAAACUCCUGUCAAGAGGGACGAAUCCCGGGCGGAUGAAUAAGCCGUCCGGUUGACGGUACCUCUGGAGGAAGCCCCGGCUAACUCCGUGCCAGCAGCCGCGGUAAUACGGAGGGGGCCAGCGUUGUUCGGAAUUAUUGGGCGUAAAGGGCGCGUAGGCGGCCAGGCAAGUUGGAGGUGAAAGCCCUCGGCUCAACCGAGGAAUUGCCCCCAAAACUGUCUGGCUUGAGUCCCGGAGAGGGUAGUGGAAUUCCCAGUGUAGCGGUGAAAUGCGUAGAUACUGGGAGGAACACCGGUGGCG
rnacentral:rRNA from 1 species